GUUUGAUCCUGGCUCAGAACGAACGCUGGCGGCAUGGCUAAGACAUGCAAGUCGUACGAACCGUUUUUCGGAAUGGUUAGUGGCGAACGGGAGAGUAAUGCAUAGGUAAUGUACCCUGAACACCGGGAUAACCACGGGCUUGCCCUUUGCGAAAGUGUGGCUAAUACCGGAUGAAGUCGUCGGAGCGCAUGUUCUGACGACCAAAGGUGGGGACCUUCGGGCCUGCCGGUUUUGGAUCAGCCUAUGUCCUAUCAGCUUGUUGGUGGGGUAAUGGCCUACCAAGGCAUCGACGGGUAGCGGGCGUGAGAGCGUGGCCCGCCUCAUCGGGACUGAGACACUGCCCGGACACCUACGGGUGGCUGCAGUAACGAAUAUUGGGCAAUGGGCGAAAGCCUGACCCAGCAAUGCCGCGUGCAGGAGGAAGCCCCUCGGGGUGUAAACUGCUGUCAGGGUUUAGCAAGCAAGGGACGUCAAUAGCGUCCGGCGCUGAGCAGACCCAAAGGAAGUCUCGGCUAACUCUGUGCCAGCAGCCGCGGUAAGACAGAGGAGGCAAGCGUUGUUCGGAAUUACUGGGCUUAAAGAGCGCGUAGGCGGCUUGGUAAGCGUCCCGUGAAAGCCCUCGGCUCAACCGAGGAACUGCGGGGCGAACUGCCUGGCUUGAGUUUGGUAGAGGUGCCUGGAACGCUAGGUGGAGCGGUGAAAUGCGUAGAUAUCUAGCGGAACGCCAGAUGCGAAAGCGGGGCACUGGGCCAAUACUGACGCUGAGGCGCGAAAGCGUGGGGAGCAAACAGGAUUAGAUACCCUGGUAGUCCACGCCGUAAACGAUGCACACUAGAUCUGGGAGCCUCUGACGGUGCCCGGGUCCAAGGGAAACCGUUAAGUGUGCCGCCUGGGGACUACGGCCGCAAGGCUAAAACUCAAAGGAAUUGACGGGGGCUCACACAAGCGGUGGAGCAUGUGGCUUAAUUCGAAACAACGCGAAGAACCUUACCCAGGUUUGACAUGCUUGGAUGCUACCCGGGGAUAACUCGGGAUGCUGCCCUUCGGGGUGAAACUUGCACAGGUGUUGCAUGGCUGUCGUCAGCUCGUGCUGUGAAGUGUCUGGUUAAGUCCCUUAACGAGCGAAACCCCUAUCGCUAGUUGCCAGCGAGUCAAGUCGGGGACUCUAGCGAGACUGCCGGCGUUAAGCCGGAGGAAGGUGGGGACGACGUCAAGUCAUCAUGGCCUUUAUGCCUGGGGAUGCACACGUGCUACAAUGGCGAGUACAGAUCGAUGCGAUACCGCGAAGUGGAGCAAAUCGCAAAAAACUCGCCCCAGUUCGGAUUGGAGUCUG
rnacentral:rRNA from 1 species